AACCUGGUUGAUCCUGCCAGUAGCAUAUGCUUAUCUUGGAGAUUAAGCCAUGCAUGUCUCAGUAUAAGUUAUAUACGGCGAAACUGCGAAUGGCUCAUUAAAACAGUUAUAGUUUAUUUGAUGAUGUUUUUAUAUGGAUAACCGUUGGGAAACCAGAGCUAAUACAUGCUUAAAGGCCGCAAGGCUGUAUUUAUUAGUUUUAAACCAUUGGCUUCGGCCUAUGUGUGGAAUCAUAAUAACUGAUCGGAGCGCACUAGUGUGAGCUAAAUCUUUCAAGUUUCUGCCCUAUCAGCUUCCGAUGGUAGUGUAUUGGACUACCAUGGCGAUCACGGGUAACGGAGAAUUAGGGUUCGAUUCCGGAGAGGGAGCCUGAGAAACGGCUACCACAUCUAUGGAAGGCAGCAAGCGCGUAAAUUACCCAAUCCUGACUAAGGAAGGUAGUUACAAGAAAUGUGAUAUUAGCACUACGUGCUAAUGUUCAAUUGGGUUGAAUAUAAACCUUUCUUCUAUAUAUUGGAGGGCAAGUCUGGUGCCAGCAGCCGCGGUAACUCCAGCUCCAAUAGUGUAUUUUAACGUUGUUGCAGUUAAAAAGCUCGUAGUUGAAUUUAUUGCUAGGGUGGGCUCCAUUCGAGGAGCAUUAUCCCUCGGCAAUCCGCUUGGGAACCGGGUGCGUCAUUCUUGGCAGCUCGUGGAACAGGCAUUUUACUUUGAAGAAAUUAGAGUGUUCCAGGCAGGCUAUGCUUGAAUACAUCAGCAUGGAAUAAUGGAAAAGGAUUCGUCCAUUUUAUUGGUUAUUGGAUGAAUAAUGAUUAACAGGGACAGUUGGGGGCACUCGUACUGGGCGGUCAGAGGUGAAAUUCUAAUUCGCUCAAGACGAACUAAUGCGAAAGCAUUUGCCAAGGAUGUUUUCAUUAAUCAAGAACGAAAGUUAGGGUAUCAAAGACGAUUAGAUACCGUCGUAGUCCUAACUAUAAACUAUACCGACUAGGGAUUGGCAGGGUAUGACCCUGUCAGCACCUAAUGAGAAAUCAAAGUCUUUGGGUUCUGGGGGGAGUAUGGUCGCAAGGCUGAAACUUAAAGGAAUUGACGGAAGGGCACCACCAGGAGUGGAGCCUGCGGCUCAAUUUGACCUAACACGGGGAAACUUACCAGGGCCAGACUCUAACAUGAUUGACAGAUUGAUAGCUCUUUCUUGAUUUGGAGGAUGGUGGUGCAUGGCCGUUCUUAGUUGGUGGAGUGAUUUGUCAGGUUAAUUCCCUUAACAGACGAGACCUUAACCUACUAAUCUAGGCGCUCUGAUCAUUUCGGGGUUGCCUUCUUAGAGGGACUACGUGCUCAAAGCACGUUGGAAGUUUGAGGCAAUAACAGGUCCGUGAUGCCCUUAGAUGUCCUGGGCCGCACGCGUGCUACACUGACUCGCGCAACAAGCUUCUCCUAGCCCGAAAGGGACUGGGAAAUCUUUAUAAUACGAGUCGUGCUAGGGAUUGAUCUUUGCAAUUCUGGAUCAUGAACGAGGAAUUCCUAGUAAGCAUAAGUCAUCAUCUUGUGCUGAUUACGUCCCUGCCCUUUGUACACACCGCCCGUCGCUCCUACCGAUUGAAUGGUCCGGUGAACUUUUUGGACUUAUGAUUAUGUCACGAGGAAGUUAAGUAAACCUUAUCAUUUAGAGGAAGGAGAAGUCGUAACAAGGUUUCCGUAGGUGAACCUGCAGAAGGAUCA
rnacentral:rRNA from 1 species